rnacentral:rRNA from 1 species
AUUGAACGCUGGCGGCAUGCCUUACACAUGCAAGUCGAACGGCAGCACGGGUGCUUGCACCUGGUGGCGAGUGGCGAACGGGUGAGUAAUACAUCGGAACGUACCUUAUCGUAGGGGAUAACGCAGCGAAAGCUGUGCUAAUACCGCAUACGCCCUGAGGGGGAAAGCGGGGGAUCGCAAGCCCUCGCGCGAUUAGAGCGGCCGAUGCCUGAGUCGCUUGUUGGUGGGGUAAAAGCCCACCAAGGCGACGAUCAGUAGCUGGUCUGAGAGGACGAUCAGCCACACUGGGACUGAGACACGGCCCAGACUCCUACGGGAGGCAGCAGUGGGGAAUUUUGGACAAUGGGGGCAACCCUGAUCCAGCAAUGCCGCGUGAGUGAAGAAGGCCUUCGGGUUGUAAAGCUCUUUUGUCAGGGAAGAAACACCGGCUCUAACACAGUCCGGGAAUGACGGUACCUGAAGAAUAAGCACCGGCUAACUACGUGCCAGCAGCCGCCGCCG